GCUACGGGCGGCAGCAGUGAGGAAUAUUGGUCAAUGGACGGAAGUCUGAACCAGCCAUGCCGCGUGCAGGAAGACGGCUCUAUGAGUUGUAAACUGCUUUUGUACAAGGGUAAACCUGAAUACGUGUAUUCAGCUGAAAGUACUGUACGAAUAAGGAGCGGCUAACUCCGUGCCAGCAGCCGCGGUAAUACGGAGGAUCCAAGCGUUAUCCGGAUUUAUUGGGUUUCAAGGGUGCGUAGGCGGAUUGAUAAGUGAGAGGUGAAAUGUCCGAGCUUAAAUCGGGAACUGCCUCUCAUACUGUUGCUCUAGCGCGUCGAUGCGGUAGGCGGAAUGUAUUGUGUAGCGGUGACAUGCUU
rnacentral:rRNA from 1 species